rnacentral:lncRNA from 1 species
GUGGGGACAGGAAGUAGAAUGGCGGGGACAGGAAGUAGAAUGGCGGGGCCAGGGAUCGGGAGCCUUAGCAGUGAAGGGGGACAGUUUCAGUUGGGGAGGUGAGACCGCUCUGCAGACAAGGGUGAUGCCUCACGCCUGCUGGAGCCACACUUCAGACGGCCCCGGGGCUGAUGUUCUGUAGGCGCCCUGAGAUGAACGAAACCUCAACCACGGCAGCCGGGACGGAUGCGGACCGAUGGGGGUGUCACUCGCUCUCACCGGCGCAGUGGGAUGCCUGCUGCAGGCCCGCCAGGGACGAGGCACGGUGAGAGGGACAGGUGCCACCUCCCCUCCAUCUGUGGGCCAGGUGCCAUCUUCCCGGCCAGCCCGAGAGGUCACCCAGGGGACAGGCUCCUGGCGGGAGGCCGUCAGCUGCCAAGAUGUCACCACUCAAAGCCCGAAGGGAGCAGGAAUGCAGAAGAGGUGUGACGCCAGUGUCAUCCAAAGCCGAAGCGCCAGGGGCUUGGCCCACUUCAAAGGCCAGGCCAAGGAAGAGGAGCGGGAGGAUCGGAUUGCACCUGACAGGCAUCAGGCGCCCCUUGUGGAGCACAGCCCUCUGCCAUUUGAUGCAAUUCAGACACCGGGAAGAGGAGCUCAGAGUCACUGACGACCCCUCCCAGUUCCCCAAUGAGAGCCUCACACCACCCUGGCAGAGGAAGCUGCAGGUGAGACGUGUCUUUGCCAUGAAACGCUCCCCUGGGCUCUGUGGAGGCUGUGAACCCAGCGUGGACCUUUUCCGGGUGCCCCACUUGUCCCAGCACUGCCCUUCAAGGCAAAGG